rnacentral:rRNA from 1 species
UGCAGUCGAGCGGUAGAGAGAAGCUUGCUUCUCUUGAGAGCGGCGGACGGGUGAGUAAUGCCUAGGAAUCUGCCUGGUAGUGGGGGAUAACGUCCGGAAACGGACGCUAAUACCGCAUACGUCCUACGGGAGAAAGCAGGGGACCUUCGGGCCUUGCGCUAUCAGAUGAGCCUAGGUCGGAUUAGCUAGUUGGUGGGGUAAUGGCUCACCAAGGCGACGAUCCGUAACUGGUCUGAGAGGAUGAUCAGUCACACUGGAACUGAGACACGGUCCAGACUCCUACGGGAGGCAGCAGUGGGGAAUAUUGGACAAUGGGCGAAAGCCUGAUCCAGCCAUGCCGCGUGUGUGAAGAAGGUCUUCGGAUUGUAAAGCACUUUAAGUUGGGAGGAAGGGCCAUUACCUAAUACGUGAUGGUUUUGACGUUACCGACAGAAUAAGCACCGGCUAACUCUGUGCCAGCAGCCGCGGUAAUACAGAGGGUGCAAGCGUUAAUCGGAAUUACUGGGCGUAAAGCGCGCGUAGGUGGUUUGUUAAGUUGGAUGUGAAAUCCCCGGGCUCAACCUGGGAACUGCAUUCAAAACUGACUGACUAGAGUAUGGUAGAGGGUGGUGGAAUUUCCUGUGUA